rnacentral:rRNA from 1 species
UACAGAGGGGGCAAGCGUUAUUCGGAAUUAUUGGGCGUAAAGGGCGCGUAGGCGGCUUUUCAAGUGGCGGGGGAAAAUCCCUCGGCUUAACCGAGGAACUGCCUGCCAGACUGGAAGGCUUGAGACCGGGAGAGGUGAGUGGAAUUCCCAGUGUAGCGGUGAAAUGCGUAGAUAUUGGGAGGAACACCAGUGGCGAAGGCGGCUCACUGGACCGGAACUGACGCUGAGGCGCGAAAGCGUGGGGAGCAAACAGG